rnacentral:lncRNA from 1 species
AGGCCACACCAAUUUGAUUCCUUGUUCGACGGACCCGCCCGCACCUAUUUUUUUUUCAAAACAGAAUUUUUUUAUUUUUUUUAUAUUCCCGCUUCCCGCAUCCGGAAAUGUAAUCAUGUCCAUUUCCAGCACCGUUUUUUUUUGUAAAUAUUAUAAAAAGAUAUCAACAUUUGUUUUUAAAAUCACAGUCUAACCUGUAUAUAACGAUUUUAAACAUAAAAGCACCCCACCACACUGUGUAAAUAUCUGUGAGAAUAUUUGUUUCAGCAUGAAACCUAUUUAUCCAAGGGAGUGCUCCGAUAAAUUUACAACAGCGGAAAUACCUGUAAAGAACAAAAAAUUGGUUUCUUUCCCCCUUACUUAUAUUCCCUAUCAAAAAAUGUUCGUUGUUAGAAU